rnacentral:lncRNA from 1 species
UUGAAAGGAAGCUAGCAUCUUUGGUUGAAAAAAAUGAAGGUGUUCCUGCUGAAGUAAUUUCUACUUGAUUUCAAUUUGCCUAUAAAACUUGUUGACUGGUGCUCAACAAGUUGGGUUUUUGUAGCUUGAAUUGGCGUAUAAUUUAGGUUCGCUUUUUGCAUGUGAGUGUUUUAAUGGAUUGGAUGUUCUACCUGUAUGUUUGUCAAAUCUCAAUCAUGUUUUUGAGAUGAGUUGUGCAGUAGUGUUGGUUGAAAUUAAUAUGUUAUUUAUUCAUUGAAAGCAUAUUGUUUCCCGACGGUGAGUAUGUGACCAAAUUAUAAUUUGUUGCAAUUUUGUCUUGACAAUUUAUGUUUCUUUCUCUUUUUCUUUUCAAGUUGUACAAGGAGAAGAAAAGCCGCACAACUCGUUUCCCUGUGAAGAACAAAUUUGAGGUUAACAGUUACACAAUGUGUUUUAGCUGGGUUUGAUGGGUUUGAUUUUGUUUGGUGGGUAAUGCUUGAUUUUUAUCAUUGUGAUAAUUGUGAUGAUGGGAUGGAUAUGGAGCUUAAUUUUGCUACUGGUUUGGCCAAUUUUGGAUUUUGGUUUUUCUUACUUUAAAACAAAAAUUGUUUCUUCACUAAGUGUAGUUCAAUCUGAUAAAACUGACAAUGCAAAAUGUUUCACAAAUGUUUAAUUUCAUAAUGGGUAAUUUCAAACUUUUGUGAAUGAGGUCUGCAUUGGAAUUGUAAUUAAUCAAGCCUUGUGUUUGAUAUACUCAUCACAGGUAGGAAGCUUUUUUUUUUAUUUUAAAUUUCGGGUAUCCAUCCCAUUUAUGAACUUCCGCCAUAAGUAAUUAGGUUAAUGAAUCUAAACUUCAUGCCUUUGAAUAUUCAUCCCGUAAAAUCUGUGUACUUUUGUUGCAGUGAGUUCUGUAGCAUGGUAAGGAAGAUUUUUAUCUAUACAAUAGAGGAAAUCAAGAGGUUGUCACCCAAGAUAAAACUUACACUCAAUGAAGAGGUCAAACCAGGAAAGCCAGAUUCUGAAGCAGCAAUCAACAUCGAAGACCAGUCAUCCAUUGUGGGACCUGCAUACUGAUCUGCCCCGUUGUCUCUAGCUAUAUAAUGAAAAAUUGGAAAAAAAAUUGGAAAAUGGAACUUGAUUGUCACAUGAGAUUCUGUCUGCUAGGAUGAUGCUAUCUAUGACAAAGUACACAUGCUGGAAGAAUUGGUUGAGUUUCCCUGCAUGCUGAGAUGGAGGGGGGCAGUGGCCUGUAAUGCACAUGCAAUCUGGAGAGUCACUACUCGUGACAGGGUUUGGGUGUUAUGGUUAUUGGUUGUCUAGUUUUGCCAAGAGGAUCUCAUAGUGCUUGCUUGUUUGGGCGAAUUGAGUCAGUGGUAGUCCUACUGGAGCAGCUCAAGUCCUCUGAUUAUAUUGAUCAACAAGAAUACGAUGCCUGCAAAAUGAAAUAAAGGAGCUUUUCUGGUAAUGAACUUUACUUUUGGACACACAAAUGCGCAAUGAACUUUACUGUCUUUGAUGACAUUUUGUGUUAUUUGUUUGAUAGGAAGGUGAUGCUGCUGUUGCCGUCGCUGAGGAGGUGAAGAAGAACAACCAUGUAGUAAGAAAGUUGGAGAGAAGAAGAACAACCAUGUAGUAAGAAAGUUGGAGAAGUGUCAACAGAUUUGCACCCUUGACCAACAUUUGGAAGAGCAAUUUGGUGGUGGUCGUCUAUUGGCUUGUAUCUCAUCACGACCUGGACAGUGGCUGUGCUGAUGGGUAUGCGACUUUAUUUGCCUAUGUUUGUUUCUAGUCAGCAGAUUUGUCAUAGGCAUAUUAGUGUAGUUACCUAUUGCAAGGGCUGAAAUCUGGAUGAUAUCAGCUUCUUUUUAUUGUUGUUUUAAAGUGAGGUAUGUAUGGGUCUUAUGAAAUUUUUACAGAAAUAUAUUGGAGGGCAAAUAAUUUUAUUUUAGUUUUUUAUUCCCAAAUGAUACCCAAAACAUGUAAGCUUCACACUAUGUUAAUUUCUGCAGGAUGGGAAAACAUUGGACAAUGAGUUGGAGGUUGUUGAGGGAAUGAAGCUAGAUAGGGGCUACAUAUCCCCUUAUUUCAUCACCAACCAGAACAAUCAGAAAUGUGUAAGUUUUAGUUUGACUCAGUGAUAACUAUGUCUUGAAACUGUUAGAGGGCUGCUUGUUAAAGUUAGCAGCACCUCAAGUCCCUUUUUGCUUGAUGAUGAUUAUCUUCAAACUUGUGUAUGUGCUGAUAGGAAUUGGAAAAUCCUCUAAUCAUAAUCCAUGAGAAGAAAAUCUCAAGUAUUAAUGAUGUGGUUAAAGUAUUGGAGUUGGUUUUGCAGGUUAGCAUUUCUCUGGUUAGGUUCACUAGUUUCUUCGUUUUUACUAUGAAUUGGUUGACAAACUUUUGCUCCUUUUCAGAAGCAAAGGUCUUUGCAUUUUGUUAUAUAUUUCAGAACCAAAGUUAUAAAAGAAAAUGGUUUUCCUCUUUGUUAAUUGAGAAUCAUCUGCAGUUAUGAUUUCAGAUCUGUAGAUAACCUGUUGUUGCUGAUAUUGCUACACGAGAGGAGAAUAGAACAGCUUGGAAAAUGUGCAAGAAGGGAGAGCUAACUCAUACAACGAAGAACAAAUUGAUGAAGUUAAGAUCAAAAUUAGUAGAAUUUGUGAGCUCUCCAUUAUUUAUAAUUAUAGGUAGGAAGUAUGUAUGUAAUAGAGCAAA